UGGGAUCAUCCUUGUUUCCUAAUAACUUUAAUCACUUAAUUCAUAUUGCAUGUGUCCCCUUGAUAAGGAUUUCCUAGUAUUGAUCUUAUACCUUGUCACCUAUGGUUAUGCAUUGGGUAGCUUAUGCUAGUGCUCCACUAAACCAUGAUCUUGUAAUUUGACUAAAGAAUUAUGCAAUAAACAUUAAAAGAUGACUUUUUAGCAACGUUGGAAAAAGUGGGCUAGAGCAUUGGGCUAUCUUAUGGUGCUCUAGUUUCUCUCCAUAAGGACUUAUCUGUAUCUGACCAUCCGGGACAUACAGUACAACUGUGAGGGCUACAUGGCUCUGGCUUCAGCUCAGUAUGAGGACCUUUUCUAGCUUGUUAGUGGUUACCCUUGUGGUGCAAGUGGGGGAUAGCAGACUGUGGAUUCCUGCGGGUGAGUCACACAGACUGACUAACGAAACCUAGCGGCCCUAACUUGUUAGACGAACCUUUGAAAGGCUUCAUAGUGAACCCUGCCGGCCUCCCUAGGAAGGGGGUUAAGAGAUUAGCUACCUCGGGCGAAAGGGUAAAUCACGACUCACAGUGAAAGUGUACAACCUCUGCAGAGUGUAAAACUGAUAUAUCAGCCGUGCUCACGGUCACGAGCGGCCUUGGACCAAUACAGAAUAAAUGAACACUAAUGGCAAUUCAUUAAAAGUUAUUAUUGUUUAUAUGUUGUUUAUGCUAUUCUUUAUUCAUUUUACCUGAUCAUGAGUUUACUAUGGGACUUGACAACUUGAUGCUACUCAAAUGCUAAAAUUGUGACAACUAAAAGCUACAUGCAGUUAAACCAGUGUCUAGCCUUCGAGCCUCAUGAACCCUAUGUUAUUCUUGCUGAGUACGAGAUGUACUUACGCUUGCCUUUACAUUUUAUUUGGAUAAAAAUCCCGGAUGGGUACCAGCUUGCAAGUUUGGAGAAGAGUUUAGGCUUGUGCUCAACCAGUCAGUUGUCCCUGUGGAUUUGGAGCUUUCGCCUGAAGAACGGAGUGUCUUUCCGCUGUUUGCUGACUAAGGUUAUAUCUUUUAUACUAAGUUCGUUAUAUAUAAGCAUUGACUAUUGAUAUUACCCCUUACUUGUAGCUAUAUGUGAGAUUUGACUUCCUGGGCUCACAUAUGGUGUGUAUCUGGUUUUGUUCUUAAAACCGGGUGCUACAAAGUGGUAUCAGAGCAAUGCUGACUGUAGGACGCAAGCCUAGUUAGUAAUGGUCGUUUUAGUCAUCUUUGCUUCACUACAUUCAUGCUUACUAUCUCACCCUUGCUAUUUGCUAAAAUUCUUAUUCUUCCAUCAUCUAAUUCUAUUCUAAAAGUAUUGCUUCUAUUCUAACUCCCUCUUGGUCUAAUUCCAUAGAUGAUUCAUAACGAGAAGAUUGCUCGCAGCAACUCUGGAAGACCAUGCUUAACUCGGGGUAUUUAUGGCUUAACGGAACCAGAAUAUGAGGAAGCUCGCCCUGUCCCAUCAAGACAUAUUGGUUGGCGAAAGGAGUACUUUACCACAUCCUUUAGUGGGGAAGAUUUCUUUCACCCUCGGCUUGUGCGUAUACUACAAGACCAUUAUCCUGAACAGCAAGCCAAGGUGGAGUAUAAGUGCACUAAGUGGGCUCAUCCUAAGUAUAAGAGCCACUGGAGCACAGAAGCACACAUCACAAGGUGGAAUGAGUUUACUGGUUCACGCAUGGUGGAAUCCAUUCAUUCGUCUCUCAGUGACCGUCUCAGUAAGCAUGCUAGCAUAUCUGAUGCUACCCUGGAUGCCGCUGCAGUCACACCGUGUUUAAGAAGUAGGAAGUCCCCUUUUGUAAUAAACGUUAGUAAGAAAAAGUUGAGUCUAGUCUGUAUGUGUGCUUUGUGAAUCUUUAAUGUUUGGUUGUUUUGUCUUAGUGCUUAUGAUUGAGUUGGAUUUUUGUAAUGAGUGCAAUGAUCUUGUGGGUUUCUCCACAAUUUCAUCUAGUUUACAGGCCUAAGGUAUAAGGGUUAAUGAAAUAAAUAGUUGGGUUUUAGUUUCUCUUGUUUCUCUGUCCUAUCUUUUAGGAGCAACUUAUCUUCUUCAGUUCAAAUCCCUAAUCUUGGAGGACCAUAAAAUCAUGUGAAAAUUAUGGGUAAUAGUAGACUUCAAGAUCCUUCUCUGACCGCAAGAAUCACCCCCAUAGCUGUUGUGAUUUGGGAAUUACGAAAAUCACAAGAUGGUAUAGUUGAGCUGUCAGGAAUCAGGACCAGUUUCAGUUGCCUACUGUUUUGGGAAACUCCGGAAUUUGGGAAAAGGUUCUAUAGUAAAGUUGUAGGUCAUUUGAUAAGCUUUCCAACGAUGCAAGCUGCAACUUUAUCGGAUUAAUAGAACUUGAGUUAUGACAUCUAUAAGUUGCUGUUGCUGCACAGUUCAAAAUCUGGACAGUUCUAGUUAGUUCCUACUUUUCAGCCAACUUAGCAUCAGAAUCUGGAAAAGUGUGAUAUACAGAAGUUGUGGAGGACUUCAUAAGCUUUUCAACCAUGUAAGGCUCGUUCCCAUAUGAUCUAAGUAACUCGAGAUUGCAAGUUGCUGCACCGAUGCUGAGACAUUGUCGGGAUAGAUAUCAUGUAUGGCUGUUUUACCUAGGUUUAAUGACAAAAACUAAGGAAGCCUUCUAUAUGAAAGUUGUAGGGAAUUUGAUAAGGUUUCUAACGGUAUAGGCUAAGACCUUAUUGGAUUAACAGAAAAGGAGUUAUUUAUAUUUUACUGUGCUGGUGUUUUCGUAUCGUGAGGGAUUCAGACUACUUGUACAUAUCAGUGCACAUGAGUUUCUCUUCGGUAUUAGAAGAUCUGAAGCCCACUUGAAACAUGGACCAAACUACCCAUUUAAACCCCUAGUUACCUAUUCUAAGGGGGGUAGUCUUAUCAAAGGAGUUACAAGGAGAAGAAUUGGUUAAUGUUGGAUCAUCGAUAAGGACCUCAAGUGUUUGGUAAAUUUGGUUUUUGAUGCAAGAAAUGGUUCCAUUGAAGUGUGCUAAUAUGGAUGGAGAUAUAGGUCAUUGCCGAUACUCAAAGCUUGGAAGUGGUGCUUGUGAGAAUCAGGUGACACCAAAGUCUACAAAGUUAUACAUGGGAUGUAAGAGCAAAGCAAUUCAACUCUGAUAGAGGUACCAAUAGAUGGGACUGAGUGAUGAAACCCACUCCGGAUCAAGAGACUUGAUACAAUGAAUUAAAAUACUAUAUGAUGUGUAGCAGCUAAGACGGAAUGUGAGAGCUAGUCCAAACUGUCCCCCGACCCAUCUCAUCUUAAGGGGGGUAGUACCUUGAUAUGAUAGAUUAAUGCCCUUUCAAUUUACCAGGAAGUGAGAGGUUGUCUCUGGAGAUAUCCCAUGAUUAUAGUCAUCUACUCUGGCACAAGUUAGUGAAAUUGGUCACUUGACAACUUAGGAAGUGGAUAUGCUACAUCUACUAUUGAUUCUACGGAGACUCAAAAGACUUCAUUGCUAAAGAGAGCAUGACCAGUAUGUUCUGGUUAAUGGAAGUUCUCAUCCAGGAGACAUCAUCUUUAAUGAUGGACUUAAGAAAGUUAAAGAUGCAAGAGUUGGAAACCACCAAAGGAAAGUGAAGGAGACUUAGAGUUUUAUAGAUAUGGCAAGAGGCUAUCAUAGUUUUGCUGGGGCCAAUGUGAUCUUAACAUAAGAGUAAAUAACAGAUUGACUUGGAAUGAUAAGAUUCUAUCAGUGGUUCAUGGAAAGUGUUAUAAAGAUUGAUAAAUAGAGUUCUUUUAUCCUAGCAAGACUUUAGAUGUGCUCUACACAAGAAAAGUAAUGGCUUGCGCGUAAGUCAACUAAGUGGGUUGGAUUAACUGACAUGUAAUGUGGAGGUAUCCAUAGUGGAUCGUGGAGAUAUUAUCCCCUUGAAUGUAGGAGUGAUAUCUGCGUAGAAUGUAAGUAUCUAGAGGGCAUCUUUAGGAAAAUGGAUUUGAGCUGGUCACAUCAUUGAUGGAUUUGAGUGAAUCAAGAGUUAUGACUGGAAAAAAAAUGCUAUCACUUGAAGGAGAAAAAAAAGCCUUUGCGUCAGAGCAUAAAGAGUGUGCUAGAGGAGUUCAAAUAACACCAAGGUUUGAGGAGUUGAUGUGUUGAACUGGAGUGAUGUCACUAGCACUGCCAAAUGAGCAUUACAAAUUACUCAUUUGGGAACCACAGGAACUACAAAGAUUACUUAGAAGAUAUGUUGUGAGCUGGUGUAUUGCAGUAUGGUACAAAGAGUUUACCGUAUGCGAAGUUUUCUUAGAACAACGGUUAGAGCUUUCAGUGGGAGCCUUUUGAGAGUGUAUAUGGAUGUAAGUGUAGAACCCUGUUGAUUUGAAAUCAAAUGGGAGAACACAAGUGUUUGGGCUAGAAGUUCUAAGUGAUGCAGAACAGCAAGUGAGAGUGAUCGGAGAUAAUCUAAGGGUGGCACAGUCUCGACAUAAGAGUUAUGUUGACACCUUAGAAGAGAAUUAAUUUUGGAGUGGAAAACUAUGUGAUUUUGGGAAGUGGCACAUAAGAGAAGUGUGAAAGGAAAGUUAGCACCAAGGUAUGUCGGGCCUUUCAAGAUGUAAGAAAUAUGGAACGAAGUGGCUUACCAAACAGAGCUACCUGAAAGUUCAGAAGGAGUGUAUGAUGUCUUCCAUGUGCCUCAACUUAGGAAGUACUUGUGUGUGUUAUAAGAGCAGAUGUCAUUAGAAGAAUUGACUGUUAAAUUGGAUUUCACAUACAAGAGUGCCUGGUAAGAAAUUUUGGAAACAACAGAAAAGGGUUACCGGAAGUUGGAUUGUCAGGAUGUACAAAGUCCAGUGGAAUCAGUGCACCGAAGAGGAGGCUAUUUGUAAAAGAGAAGAGGAUCUAAGAAAAGUAUAUCCGCAGUGGUUUGAGUAAGCACCAACCGAAUCUCGAGGACGAGAUUCAUUUUAAGGGGGGUAGAAUUGUAACACCUCAAAAUUUGCAAUUUUCCAAAAUAGGAUAAAUUGUUAACUUGUGUAUUUUUGUGCCCAUGAAAUAUAGGAAAAAUAAUAUUUUUCUUUGAAUUAAAAUUUACUAUAGGAGUUAGCAACUUGUUUGAGCACGCAUGUCCUUGCAUUUGAUUUAUUGUAAUGAGUGAUUUUGACUAAGGUUCAAAAAUAUAUUUCAAACAGAUUUUAAAUUAAAUUUGAAAGAGGUUUUGAAUAAAUAAAAAGAGAGAUUUAUUUUUCUCCUUCCUCUCCCUGGAAAUCGGCCCGAAGGCCUAGAACUUUUUUUCCCCUCCUUCUUCUUCUCUCUGGCCCAAGUGGACCGCGGCCCAGCUUCCGGCCCACUGCGCAACAGCCCAGCGCCAGCGCUUUUCUCCCCUCUCUUCUUCCACCGACAAGCGGGUCCCGUGCUUCUAGGUCACAGACAGGUGGGGCCCACCUGUCAGGGCCUUCUUCCACCUCGUGAUGGAGCCGGACUCCACCGUGAGAUCGAACCCGCCGCGCGGAUUCGCCGUGUUUGGCUUGCCCCGCAAGCCAUGACCCUCUUAAAUAGUGGCCUUGGCCUCGCCGAACCCCCCCCCAACCCCAGUUUUGGCACGGACUCGAACCCUAGCCGAGCUGCUGCCGUCGCCGAAUAGGAUCGAGAUCGCCGCCGAAGGUGAAGUCUCGGUUCAUAGCGCCUCUGCCUCCGUGAGCCCCUUGCCGAGCCUCUUUUCUCCGUUGCGAAGUCGCCGAGACUCUUUGCUCGCGAUUUCGUGCUUUCUGUGCACGGCUAACCCUCGCCGAACUCCUUGCAGAGCCACCGUCCGCCCCUUGCCGUCGUAAGCCCGAGUCGGACUCUGUCGGUUCCAAUCUUGGCCCCAGGUGAGUUCACACCGAGCUCCUCCGCGUUCUGGUGCUUUCGGUUUAGUCUCUCGUGCCCUAAAUCGCGCAAACCGCGAGCUCCGGCCAUGUUCGGCCAUGGCGCCACCGCCGGCACCUCCAACUCCGGCCGGCUGCCUCCCAUCCCCCACCCCCGAUCUAAUCUUGGCCAUUCACUCGCGAUGCAACGGCCCCAGAUGAAGGAUACCCCUUCGGCCGCGAUUUUUGCAAAAGAGCCCCCCUAGUUUUUAAAGUCUUAACCCGCGGUGCAAGCGCCUUUCUCAAAAUACGUUUUCUCAAUUGGAUUACGUAUUCCGAUCGGUUGAAUUCAAAAUACGUUUUCACAGUUUAAAAACGUACUCCGUGCUGGUUUAUUCAAAAUACGUUUUCAGAAAAUUACAAGUUUGCCACUGACUUUCUUUUGCUCAUAAAAUAUUCGUUUUAACUCCGUUUUGACUCGUUCAAAUUGCGUUGGUUUUGUAUUCAAAAGAUCUACAUGUUAGUCUCACUGUUUUACAAGUUUGAAACUUUUUAUUUUCGUGAUCUUAUUUAAUUAAUUGUUUUUCUAAAGAAAAUCUUAGAAAAUUCAUAUAUUCUUCGUUUUAACUCCGUUUUGAUCCGUUCAAAUUUCGUUAGAUUCGUUUUUGCGUAAUCUAUAGAUUAGUAGCUCUGUUAUACAUGCUUCCAAAUUUUUAAAUCUGAAUCUAGAUUUAAUCUAUUAUUUAUUUAAAGGAAAUCUUAGGAAAAUCAUAACUUCUUCGUUAUAACUCCGAUUUUCGUGAUCUUUACGUCUGUGUGAUCGUAGAGCGAUGUAGAUUCGUUUUAUAAACUUUUUAUCUUUAUUUGCUACUGUUGGUGUAUUGUUCUAAUUAUAGGUUUGUUUUGCUUUGUAUGAUUGCCUUUGGAUGAUUGCUGUUGAUGUGGUGGUUACGAAUAGGCGGUGAGCAGUUCGUGGGUGAGCAAGAGUACUUCUACGAGCAGGAUCAGCAGGACCAGUGUGAUCAAGGCAAGUAUAACAUGGGAUCAUCUUUGUUUCCUAAUAACUUUAAUCACUUAAUUCAUAUUGCAUGUGUCCCCUUGAUAAGGAUUUCCUAGUAUUGAUCUUAUACCUUGUCACCUAUGGUUAUGCAUUGGGUAGCUUAUGCUAGUGCUCCACUAAACCAUGAUCUUGUAAUUUGACUAAAGAAUUAUGCAAUAAACAUUAAAAGAUGACUUUUUAGCAACGUUGGAAAAAGUGGGCUAGAGCAUUGGGCUAUCUUAUGGUGCUCUAGUUUCUCUCCAUAAGGACUUAUCUGUAUCUGACCAUUCGGGACAUACAGUACAACUGUGAGGGCUACAUGGCUCUGGCUUCAGCUCAGUAUGAGGACCUUUUCUAGCUUGUUAGUGGUUACCCUUGUGGCGCAAGUGGGGGAUAGCAGACUGUGGAUUCCUGCGGGUGAGUCACACAGACUGACUAACGAAACCUAGCGGCCCUAACUUGUUAGACGAACCUUUGAAAGGCUUUAUAGUGAACCCUGCCGGCCUCCCUAGGAAGGGGGUUAAGAGAUUAGCUACCUCGGGCGAAAGGGUAAAUCACGACUCACAGUGAAAGUGUACAACCUCUGCAGAGUGUAAAACUGAUAUAUCAGCCGUGCUCACGGUCACGAGCGGCCUUGGACCAAUACAGAAUAAAUGAACACUAAUGGCAAUUCAUUAAAAGUUAUUAUUGUUUAUAUGUUGUUUAUGCUAUUCUUUAUUCAUUUUACCUGAUCAUGAGUUUACUAUGGGACUUGACAACUUGAUGCUACUCAAAUGCUAAAAUUGUGACAAC
rnacentral:lncRNA from 1 species